rnacentral:rRNA from 1 species
GGUAUUUUUAUUGGGGAUGACCGUCCAGUAGUCAUCCUCUCGUCUAAAAGAUUAAGCCACGCAUGGGUAAGUAUAAAUAUUUUUCUCGGAACCAGCGAAUCGCUCAUUCUAUCAGUUAUAGUUUAUUAGAGGAAAUGUAGUCGUUGGAUACCGUUAGUAUUUCUAGAGUUAAUACGUGAUCAAUUCCUCGUCUAGGAAGAGGGUUAUUUAUUAGAAGGAAAACCAAUAGUUGCGCAUAGUUGCAGAGUAAUAAGCACUUUUCAUUUAACAUCCUUAUGUAGCAGAGUCUUUUAAAAGUUUGUCCCCUCUCACUUCUCGAGGAUAGUGUAUUGGUUCCCCAGCGCAGUAUCGGGUCGCGAAGAAUUGGGGUUAGUUUUGGGAGAGGGACCCUGAGAUUGGUUUCCCUCACCCAAGGAACGAUCCAGGCGCGUAAAUCCCCCAAUCCCGACACAGGGAGGUAGUCACAAUAAACCACAAUGCGGAACUUUAGUUUCGCAAUUGGAUUGUGCACGUCGCACAACAGUUAUCGAUAAACAAUUGGAGGGCAAGUCUGGGCCAGCAGGCGCGGUAAUCCAUAUCCCAAGCC